rnacentral:lncRNA from 1 species
CUUUCUCAGCAACUGGGAAACGGGGGAGGGAGAAAUUUUGGAUUGAGGCUGCCAGAUGGAGGGCAAGUUCCCCAAAAUGCACAGGAAAAGGUGCCUCGUGGCUGUUUUCAAUUCCACCACACUGAUGCCUGCAGCAUGUGUGUUUACAGCACGGGUUGUGGGGUCAGGCAGCUGUGGAGCCGUGGGCAAAUGACUUGCCCUCUCUGAUCCUGUAUGUAAUUGAGGAUGCUUAGAGUAUGGGUCCCAUGACAAAAGGAAGAGCCUUCUUGAGCACCAGGACCAGGCCAAGCAUGCAAUCCACGCUGGCGGGGCCCCUACAUUCCUCUUUCUUGAGUGAAUCACCUGUUCAGGCCCUUCGCUCAUUCUAGAAGAUUGUCUGAGGACAGAGGGGUUGGCGGGCACCAGCAGGACGGAGCAUGGCCUGGUCGGGAUGAGACGCACCCACCUCUGCAUGCACAUGGGCUCUUCCUGCCAGCCAGUGCCCACCAGGCCCACGGGAACAGCUGAACAAAACCAACAAAUUCCUGCGUGUGGCAGCUGACAGCCGGGAGGAGGCUGGAGAGUUUAGGGAAGAGAGUCAAUUUUUAAAAUAAGUAAAAUACACACACCAGCAGCUAAAGAGUUCUUCUUCUCAUUAUUAUUACUGAUACUGAGGCCAGGAGGGCCUCACUCUGAAGGGGAGAUUUAAGCAAACAGCCUAGGAGUUUGUGGGAGCAGUCCAGAGCACCCUCGGAGGAGAGGAAACGAACCUGGGGUCGCAGGACCCAAAGAGGUCUGCGUCCCUAGGGCAGCGAAGAGCUCAGAAGUCGAGGGGGCGGGCCCAGGAGGGCCCUAAGGAGACGGUACUAGAGCCUCAGGGGCAGCCCCUAGCUAUAAGCUGGCUGGGGCAGAUGGGGGAAAGGGCGCAAGCCCUCACCUGGCCUGAGUGACCUGUGGCCCCAGCUGUGUGGCCUUAGGAGCUAACCGCUGGCCAGGACGUCACCCGCCAUGUCCCCAACCCCGCAAAGGCUACAGAGGCUUGUGGGAACCGUGCAGCUGCAGCAGUGGUCGGGGACAGGCACGCACAGAUGAGUCAGGACACACGCGUGAGCC